GAAACUCUAAAUCUUAAUCACCCCAUCGUCUUCUCCACCCCUCUACGCUAUGAAUCGCCGACCGAAAAUUGUCUCCGCUGGACAAAGUCAACCAAAUCCCCGCAAACCGAUAUCAAUCGACUCCUCCUCUUAUUCCCUAUCCCAUUACAUCAAAAUUGAACCUCCAUUUUCAUCCCGUUACCACUAGACUCGAAACCGUAACCGUCGUUUCCCCCUUUUCAUUUCCAGCCCAAUUCAUGGUUGUAACCAACAGGAAUUGAUGUCAGUUUCGGUAGAUUUCAAUGGCAAUCGGCGCUAGUCAACUCACCGUUGACCGGCCAGAAUCUAAUUUUCUCCCGUUGGCUCAGGAUUUUUGAAAGAAUGAGCACUAUCCAAAAUUUACCUCUACGAGUCAUAGAUGAGAUCCCAUUGAAGCUCCAUAUAUGGUGGGAUGACUUGGGGUAAAAAGGAUGGGAUCUAGUCAAUCAUUACUUGGGGGGCACUCACCAGUUUGUUAAAGAUUAAGCCCAGAAGUGACUUGAUAGGGGUAUUGGUGCUAUUCUGGGAUCCAGCUCACAAUAUGAUUCGUUUCUCGAACUUUGAGCUAACACCUACUUCAGAGGAAAUAGCGGGCUAUGCUGGAACUACAGAAGGGUUAAGGUAAAAAAAUAUUUGAUAGCCCUAAGGAUCGUCAUUCCUCACAGGUUUUUAGAUCUCUUGAAGAUAAGAAGGAAGAUUAAGACCGUGGACCUGGCAGAUGGGUUUUGCUCUUUCCAAUUUUUGUAUCAGCAUUGUGGGAAUUCGAAGGGGUUUGAGAUUCAAGAAAACGGGCUUUGCAACAAAGGCAAUCGGACCAAGUGGGAGAUGCACAGGGGUUUUGAUUUCACAGUGGCAUUUUUAGGCACCUUGGUGUUCUCGAGAGAGGAUAGAAACAUUGAUUUACGCCUAGCCGGAGUUGUUCUAGUUUUGACUACCCAAGACAAAAGAACCCUUAUACCUAUGAUUGUAUUAGACAUAUUCCGAGCUUCGACAUCUUGCAAGGCCGAAGCCAAAUUUUUUAGGGAUGCAUCCUAUUGCUACAAAUGUGGUUGAUAGAUCACUUUUUUCAUCGUCGCAUAUAUAUGAACUGCGGUGCUAGGGGCCAGUUGCAUUGAAGAGUUUGAAAAAAGGGUGACUGGUUUCAUAAUGCCAGAAUGGGUUAGGGCUUGGAUCACCCGCCUUCGUUCAUUAACUUCAAGUCAGAUAGAGUGGAUCCUGGGUUGGCUUUCUGCUAACGAGAUCAUUCAUAUGUAUGCCACUGGUUCUUAUUUUCUCUUGAUGGGUCUCCGCGUUAUUCAGUCGUACGCCGCAUCCCGGCUACUGGUGCCAGCUAGUUCCUCAAGAUGAGGACCUUAGUGUUCAUGUUAUCGAGUUACGUCCCAAAGCUCAGUUUCCCAAAAAUAUAGUCCGCCAGAUUUGGAGUGAAUGCCAGUAUUUGGGGCCAGAUAUCUGAGUACAUGAUUUAUCAAAGGGUGAGGUUGAACUCGGAUAUGCUACUUAGUAUGGAAAGAGAGCAAUGGUAAAUAAUGAGUCUAAAAGACCAGCCAAGAGGCCCCACGUCCAAGAGUUUGGUGAUAGGGCACAAGAACACUGAGCUUGGGUAGCAAAAAUAGAAAAAUACAGGGCCACAAUCAAUACCCUACAAGAGCAAGUGAGGGUCCUUAGCUUUGAGAAGGAAUUGCAAGCUACCGAGGAUGACAGAGAAAAGAAGAGAUUGGCUCGCGAUAAUGUGGCCCUUCGAACCCAACUCUGAGAGAUGAAAAGGGCAUCAGAGGUACAAGUAAGAAGUGAAAGACAUCAAUAAAUCAUCAAAAAUUUGAGGCAGUGUGUGUUUGAUCACGCAACCGAUUUGACAAAAACUAAGAAAGAGAUAGCAAGGGCCCGUGAGAGGAUAGUUCAAUUAGGUGAAGAUUUUGAGAACCGCCUAAGGUUGGCCUGCCAAGCAAAGCAAAAUCACGAAGAAGAAGUUGCUGGUUUAAGGAAAGAUUUGGCCAUCCUUGAAAAUAAAAUGAGUCAACAAGUUAAGGACUUUAAGGCAGAAAGAGAACACUAUUACAACUUGCUAAACCAGUUGUAGGGGAAUGUGGUAGACCCACAAAACAAGAGGGAUCAGACAUAAUACUUGGUAGGAGCCCGAGAUCUACAUAUUAGACUAAUAUUUCUGGACCAAAGAAUCACGAAGUUCAGCAUUCAGGAAAUAUCCGACUAUGCUGCCAAGAAAUGCAAUGACUGUGAAAAGAUGACCAUGGUCAUGUUCUUCUCCACAAUGUUGACUUUUGUUGGCCAGGUCAUGAGUGAUCUAGAAGUUUUUUAUUGGAAACAUACCGACGCAGUGACUAACAGAUGUCACACGAGGCCCUGCUUGUCCAUUGUAUCAGUUGCGUUUGAUUAUCGAGUCUGUAGUUUACUUUCCCACAUCAAGUCUGUUGUUUAUUAUCCAUUUCGAAUCUGUUGUUUAUUGUCCA